rnacentral:misc_RNA from 1 species
ACGAGCAGUUUGCUUAGUACGUGCCAUCUAUAAUUGCAUGAAUAUUGUCAAUAGAUAUUACGAUGCCGAUUAGAUUUUAUUUAUAAAAAAUUAUAAUUCAAAUAAUGAGCCUACACAAUUUCUAGACAAGGAGCUUUGCAUUAAAGACCCAAUGCCAAAGUUUAUCAUGUAAAACUUUUUAACCAAUUUUCAGGUGUAAAUGACAUGGGAAACCACUGCUUAGCCCCAAGUAUAAAGGGUAAGCCCUAAGGUAC